rnacentral:misc_RNA from 1 species
GUUUCAAUUGUAGGCAGAUCAGAGUCCGCUUCACAUUCUUUUGAACUGGAGUCUAUUUGUAUGCGGCUUCAGACGCCGUGGGCGCCCUCUGGCCGUAAAGGAGCACAGUGGGGUUUGUGGGUUGUGAGUCGGGGACAGCCUGCCCGCUGCGACGGCCCCGUUUGGGACCGGAGCGGGACGCGGCCAAACCCUCCUCGGAGAUACGUUAAUGAUCCUUCCGCAGGUUCACCUACGGAAA